GACGAACGCUGGCGGCGUGCUUAACACAUGCAAGUCGAACGGAAAGGCCCUGCUUUUGUUGCGUGCUCGAUUGGCGAACGGGUGAGUAACACGUGAGUAACCUGCCCUUGACUUUGGGAUAACUUCAGGAAACUGGGGCUAAUACCGGAUAUGAUCUCCUGCUGCAUGGUGGUGGUUGGAAAGUUUCGGCGGUGGGGGAUGGACUCGAUGCUUAUCAGCUUGUUGGUGGGGUAGUUGCUUACCAAGGCUUUGACGGGUAGCCGGCCUGAGAGGGUGACCGGCGACAUGGGGACUGAGAUACGGCCCAGACUCCUACGUGCGGCAGCAGUGGAGAAUAUUGCACAAUGGGCGGAAGCCUGAUGCGGAAACGCCGCGUGCGGGAUGACGGCCUUCGGGUUGUAAACAGAUUUGGAAUGUGACGAAGCGUGAGUGACGGUAAUGGGUAAAGAAGCACCGGCUAACUACGUG
rnacentral:rRNA from 1 species